GACGAACCGUGCGAACGUUGUUCGGAAUCACUGGGCUUAAAGGGCGCGUAGGCGGGUCGGCAAGUCCGGGGUGGAAGCCCCCAGCUCAACCUGGGGAAGGGCCUUGGAAACUGCCGGUCUCGAGGGAGGUAGGGGCCUGUGGAACUUCGGGUGGAGCGGUGAAAUGCGUUGAUAUCCGAAGGAACGCCGGUGGCGAAAGCGACGGGCUGGAUCUCUUCUGACGCUGAGGCGCGAAAAGCUAGGGUAGCGAACGGGG
rnacentral:rRNA from 1 species